rnacentral:miRNA from 1 species
AAGGUGGGUGCCCUGGAGGGUGCAUGUAAAUGUCUGGGUACAAACACAUGCAUGCACACACACACACACAUACACACU